rnacentral:rRNA from 1 species
CCUACGGGAGGCAGCAGUGAGGAAUAUUGGUCAAUGGGCGCGAGCCUGAACCAGCCAAGUAGCGUGAAGGAUGACUGCCCUACGGGUUGUAAACUUCUUUUAUAAAGGAAUAAAGUGAGGCACGUGUGCCUUUUUGUAUGUAUUUUAUGAAUAAGGAUCGGCUAACUCCGUGCCAGCAGCCGCGGUAAUACGGAGGAUCCGAGCGUUAUCCGGAUUUAUUGGGUUUAAAGGGUGGGUAGGCGGUAGAUUAAGUCAGCGGUAAAAUUGAGGGGCUCAACCUCUUCGAGCCGUUGAAACUGGUGUUCUUGAGUGAGUGAGAGGUAGGCGGAAUGCGUGGUGUAGCGGUGAAAUGCAUAGAGAUCACACAGAACUCCGAUUGCGAAGGCAGCAUACCAACGCUCGACUGACGCUCAUGCACGAAAGUGUGGGUAUCGAACAGGAUUAGAUACCCGAGUAGUC